ACGUGUGUGUGUGUGUGUGUGUGUGUGUGUGUGUGUGAGUGUGCCCUCACUCUGGCAGGCCCCACUUCCAUUUCAAGGCCUCAGGCCCAUUCCAGG
rnacentral:miRNA from 1 species